CCGGGACAUGAGGAGCGCUGAAUGCCAGCAUCAGGAGGCAGGUGUUUCUCCUGCAGGGCUGGGACGUCUGUUCAGCCUACAGCUUUCCCCUCCAGGUUCCUCUGAUGUGACCAUUUCAUCCUGGGACACCUGCUGAUCUUCACAGAACUAGCAUGGACUUGUGACACUGAGUGACAUAACAGCCAAUUAGUGGAGAAUAUAAAGCGCUUGGCGGCACUGACUACCCAAACCGUGAGCGUGUGGUCACCGGCACUGAGGCAUGGAAGAGAAAACGUGGCCUGAUUCCCAGAGGUGCAGCUGGCCCAGCCCACAGAAACACAAGAGAUCGACGCAGGAAGGAAUUGUGGGGAGCGUGGGCAGGAGCUCGGUUCAGUGGGGGUGACGCUGCCUGCUCAGCACACAUUCGCUGAGCUACCCUGGGUCAGGUCUCAGCUGGGAACCAGGCAAAUGGGAGGCAAGACCUUUCCGUUGCUUCCUAUUACACUGUCCAGUACUAAAGGAGAAACUCCUGCACAUGGGCCUAGAAAGGAGACCCAGCUCAUGUCAUGGCCUCAUCGCCUCCUCCCACUAGUCCCUUUCAAUCCAACCACCUUUACCUUUUCUGUUCCUACCAAAGGCCUGCAUGUGCCAUAUUGUGUGUCUGAAACAGUCCUCCCUGCUCCCCUUUGAUUGAUUCGCUCCUCACUACCUUAGACUUCACUUGCAGGAAGCCUCUCUGGGUCUCCCAAGUUGGGGAUAAGUGAGGUGCCUGCUGGUUCUCCAUUGCAGCAUUUGAUACACUUUACUACAGCUGCCUGGUCUUGCUGCCUACCUCCCUACACACUGGAGGCUCUAGGAGGGCUUCAAAAACAAAAACAAACAAGAGCAACAGAAUGACCAAGACCCACACUGAUUAAGCUGUCAUGGUUUCUCUCAAUUACCCACACCUGUAUUUGCGGCUCCUACACGCUGGAAGCUGUAAGAGGCCUGACUGGGCCUCACCCCUAUUAAGGCCUGUGUCUAACAUAUGAAGGUCUUAAUAAAUAUUUGUGGAAUGAA